UACGUAGGGGGCUAGCGUUGUCCGGAAUCAUUGGGCGUAAAGAGCGCGUAGGCGGCUCGGUAAGUCCGCUGUGAAAACCCGGGGCUCAACCCCGGGCCUGCAGUCGAUACGGGCAGACUAGAGUGCGGUAGGGGAGACUGGAAUUCCUGGUGUAGCGGUGAAAUGCGCAGAUAUCGGGAGGAACACCGGUGGCGAAGGCGGUUCUCUGGGCCUUACCUGACGCUGAGGAGCGAAAGCGUGGGGAGCGAACAGG
rnacentral:rRNA from 1 species